rnacentral:rRNA from 1 species
UAAGCGGAGGAAAAGAAACUAACAAGGAUUCCCCUAGUAGCGGCGAGCGAAGCGGGAAGAGCUCAAAUUUAUAAUCUGGCACCUUCGGUGUCCGAGUUGUAAUCUCUAGAAAUGUUUUCCGCGUUGGACCGCACACAAGUCUGUUGGAAUACAGCGGCAUAGUGGUGAGACCCCCGUAUAUGGUGCGGACGCCCAGCGCUUUGUGAUACAUUUUCGAAGAGUCGAGUUGUUUGGGAAUGCAGCUCAAAUUGGGUGGUAAAUUCCAUCUAAAGCUAAAUAUUGGCGAGAGACCGAUAGCGAACAAGUACCGUGAGGGAAAGAUGAAAAGCACUUUGGAAAGAGAGUUAACAGUACGUGAAAUUGUUGGAAGGGAAACGCUUGAAGUCAGACUUGCUUGCCGAGCAAUCGGUUUGCAGGCCAGCAUCAGUUUUCCGGGAUGGAUAAUGGUAGAGAGAAGGUAGCAGUUUCGGCUGUGUUAUAGCUCUCUGCUGGAUACAUCUUGGGGGACUGAGGAACGCAGUGUGCCUUUCGGCGGGGGUUUCGACCUCUUCACACUUAGGAUGCUGGUGGAAUGGCUUUAAACGACCCGUCUUGAAACACG